AGUGAACGCUGGCGGUAGGCCUAACACAUGCAAGUCGAACGGCAGCACAGUAAGAGCUUGCUCUUACGGGUGGCGAGUGGCGGACGGGUGAGGAAUACAUCGGAAUCUACUUUUUCGUGGGGGAUAACGUAGGGAAACUUACGCUAAUACCGCAUACGACCUACGGGUGAAAGCAGGGGAUCUUCGGACCUUGCGCGAUUGAAUGAGCCGAUGUCGGAUUAGCUAGUUGGCGGGGUAAAGGCCCACCAAGGCGACGAUCCGUAGCUGGUCUGAGAGGAUGAUCAGCCACACUGGAACUGAGACACGGUCCAGACUCCUACGGGAGGCAGCAGUGGGGAAUAUUGGACAAUGGGCGCAAGCCUGAUCCAGCCAUACCGCGUGGGUGAAGAAGGCCUUCGGGUUGUAAAGCCCUUUUGUGGGGAAAGAAAAGCAGCAGGUUAAUACCCCGCUGUUCUGACGGUACCCAAAAAAUAAGCACCGGCUAACUUCGUG
rnacentral:rRNA from 1 species